AAUGCUCUGCUUUCGGCCUGGCACCAUUACGCUAGCAGCCGCUUCUCCGCGGCCCCGCGCGUCUCUUUCCCCUUUGUUUUCGGGGUCUAUAGAAAACGUUUGCUUUUGUCCCGAGCUCUCGUUAAACCAAACUUGUGGUGGCAACGGAAGGCGGUGCAGGCGGGGAGGGGUCCGGGGAUUUUGGCAGUAGCCGGCCAGAGCGUGGUGGAAACUUCUCUCGCUGGGUUCUCCGCUCCCUCCCACUCCCCCUCCCCAACACAGAGCCGCCGGCCUCCCGACGCUUCUCCCUUCGCCCCCGAGAGGCCCCAGUGCUCCAGGAAGGUCUGGGCCACAGAGACUGUGACCAGGGGUGAAGAACUCAGAGUGCGUGUCUGUGAGCCCCGAGGUUUUGGCACUCGAUGACCUUGCUCCCUGCAGCCCCGACUUACCUCUUUCCCUUUGGUCAUUCGGGGCUUUGUAUCAGUCGGUGAAGAAGGGGAGGGAAGAGAAAGUGUUUCUUUCGUGCGUGUGGUUUUUAUUUUAAGGAUUUGUUGGAAUCUGUCACCCCCAACUGCACAGCCCCCUCCCGUAUAGGAUCUAGGGCGAAAGCGGGGAAACGUCGGAUUUAGGGGGAAAGGGUCGGGUCAGAAACCUAGCCCUGGAGGCUGGAUCGUACUCUCCUGGCGGGCUCAGCCACACUUGGUCGGCACGCGGGGCGGGGCGACCCAGCAGAGUGGGGGACGCAAGGGCCAGGUCCCUCGGUCCAGGAGACGCCAAACGUUCCAACCUUGGAGCGAGAGAGCAGGAACCCCCGCCCCCACCCAAGCGCGCGCGCUCCCUAGCUCGACGCGCAAGCCGUGGCUCUCCGCGCCAGAGCUGCUCAGGCGGCAAUUUUUUAAGCCUGCAAUUAAGCGAGGCGUCGCCGUGUCCUCUGCUAGUGUCGGUCCUGUCAGUCGCACAUGGCCUUGGUGCUCCGGUCCGAGGCCCCGCGAUUAGUCACAGGCUCGCUUCGCUCCUUCCCUAAUCCGCCUCUGCAGGCAGCCUGGGGACGCGGCCGACUUGGCGGCGCUGGCAGGGAGCCACUGCCCGCGGGGCGGGCCUCCUGACCAGUGCCAGCCCCGCUGCGCCCGAGCCGGCGCGGGCCCUGGGGUGCGGGUUUGGCGCCCCUCCCCUCUCACAGCCCCCUGGCUGGGGUGGCGGCGCCCCUCCUCCUCCCGCCCCUCUCCCGGGCCUGCGAGAUCUAUUUGUGUGGUGUCAUUUGCAUAAAAAUAGGACAAGUGUUUCUGUGCGUUCAUACGCGGGAGGCGAAAUCCUUAUUGAUGUGUCUGUGUGGAGCCUUCGAUUGUCGGAGCGGUUUGAUUUAGGGUGUUUGUGUUGCCUUCUACAAGAAAGGAGAGAAAGUCCUUCUCAACUCCUUCGGCGGCCUGGGCCCCCAGAAGCAUGUCCCUCUGCGCGGCCGGAAUGGUCCACCACUUGGGCCCCAAGCGCGCCGGAUCCACAGCGAGCAGGUUGAGGGCCAGGCGGGAGGCCCAUUAUGACUCAUAAAAUCGGGCGGCCUAAUCGCCAGCUGCCAACCCAUUUACAUGUGGAGCUUCCCAAUGCUCCCUUCGCCCGGGCCCGGCUUCCUGAGGGUUUGCCCCGACACAGCUAGAGCCGCCAAGUGGGAGCUAAUCUAGUGGCCUCUCCUUCCCGUCGGCAGCGUGGCUUCCCUUCCCCGGCGACCCCCGCUCUCUUGGCCUACUGCGCUGCUCGCCAGCAACUCCUCAGCUUGGACAAAUAGCUGGGAGGGCGCCGGCCGCGCGGAGCCAGUAAAUCAAUCAUUAACUCCCAAGCGAGGCCUGGACCAGGGGAGGGAGCGGCGGCCAGAGCCGAGUCCGCGAGGCGAGCGCAAAGCCUCCACCGGGGUUAGGAGCCACCCACGCGCCAACGAACCGGGUGCGUGAAGGCGGGUCCCGCCAUGGCCUCCCGGGCCCCUCCAGAAGCCUCCGCCCGCCGGGCCUUUCAAGCCCGCACCUUGCCUGGCCAGGCAGGUCGCGUUACAGCGCUGCCCCUGGGAGAGCUUGAACAUUAACGAGUCGCCUCGGGCCUCAGCGGCCUGCUCUCCACAGGAGAGCGUCCCGCGCUUGGGCAAGCUCCUCGGAUCCGGCCGGGCUCCUCCUGGCUCAGGCUUGCUAAACCAAACUGAUCGCACCCUGUAUCGACCAAUCUCCCUGCGGCACCCUCUUCCCUCAGCCCACGGUGGAGCCGGCACGCAGGGGGUUAAAAGCCCCGGUUCGCUCUGGCUCCUCGGCUGCGAGGAGAAAACGCUGAUCAAAGUGCUUAAGGGGAAGGUAACACAUGCACAUUCGGUCCCGGGUCGAAGGAGGCCGACUGGAGACGGCUCCCGAGCCACCCGCCUCGACCCGCUUCCCACACUCCCGGGAACGCGGCGGCGGCGGCGGCCCUGGCCCGCACGAUUCGCUCGGCGGAGCGCUGCGCUGCUGGGCUGGGAGGGCGGCGGGGAGGAGGAGAGACGAGGGGGCGGGAGGCGAACCCGGGCUGCGCGCCAAGAGGCCCGGAGCCGCAGAUUAGUCACCGCUCGGCUCUGCGCUCCCGGGUGCGCCCGGGAACCGGGAGGGCAGGCGUCGGCCCCGCUCAGCCGGGCUCCCCGGUCCUCGGCGCGGGUGCCCCCACCCCCACCCCCGCGCGCUCCUGGCGCGGCUGGCUCGACUCUCGGGGACCCGCGCAGCCGAGAUCCACUUGUCAGGUCAAGGGCAGGACAGAAACUCUGCAAGCGGAGUCUUGCUUGCGAACAGGAAAUUUCUCCUUGAUGAGGCCUCAGCUCAUCUGUUGUGUUCACCAUGGGAACCUAAGAAUUGAUCAUCUGAAUGAAGAGUUGCCUUCCUUCCAGCUGCUGCCAGAGUUUCUCCUCAGAAGAGAGUAAAUACAGACUGGAGCAUUGCCCUUGGUGUUGCCCUGAAAGCGUCCCAGGUGUCAGAUCGCACUGGGCCAUUCCUGGAGUAGGUGAUGUUACUGUUUAGAGUUCAGUGCUAACCCACCACCUCCACCAAUCGAGACCUAAGCCGUUAAUUAUUCUGAAAAUACCAAAAAUAAAGAUUGCAGGGAAGGCAAUUAAUAGGAUCAUACGGUCUAUUCCUCAUUUGUAAUUACAUAUUAUUAUUUUUCUCCCUACUUUGUUCCAAUAAUGAUUUAAGGCUGCUUCCAAAGAUACACAAAACCCAGCAAAGAUAAAUAGAAGAAGUGGAAUAUGAAUUAUAAUGUCAUGCCUGCUCACAACAUCUCUGCCCCAUUCCACAUAAUAGAAGUGAAUUCAUAACGCCUUUCAAAAAUGAGGUAAUUCAGCUAUUUUGGUGGCAACACUAGGCUCUUUGUAAAGUGAAAGGGUGGUACACGAUCAUGGAAAAACCAUGGAGGGGACACUCGAUCCCCUUUCUAAUGCUUGCUUUCUUGGUGUGUGACCUUGGGCAAGUCGCUCACCCUCUCUGGACUUCAGCUUCUGAAACUCUCAAAUGUCUCUGCCAAUCCCUGAGGCUUCCUCCUCUUUCUGACGUCCAAGGGCACCAUCAAGAAGGCAGAGGCCAGUACUACUGCCCUCUGGCAUGAGGCUUCCUAGAACUACUAUUCGAGAGAUAGUUUCCCAGGAAGUAUACUAUGCUCGCACUCUUUCUCUCUCUCUCUCUCUCUCUCCACCCCCCCCACCCCUUUUCCUCCCUCCCUAUCUGUCUUCUCUCUAACACACCACAGGCACAGAGAAGUCUUUCUGGAUGACUGAGAUAAUAGAACUGAAAUUGUCUCCUCCCCCAAGGCAAGGACCCCCCCUUUCAGGAAAGUGACUUUAAGGGUAGCACUGAGGGGAUCUUUUUGGGAGGCGGGGAGUCACAACCCUUCUGACCUUUCUGUCCUCCCCUCAGGUGUGAGCUUUCACUUUCUUUCCUCUUCUUGCAGUUCAAGACAUUCUUUUAUUUAUUUUAUUUAUUUUUUUCUGAGACAGAGUUUUGCUCUUAUCCCCCAGGCUGUUGUGCAGUGGCGCGAUCUCAGCUCACUGCAACCUCCGCCUCCCAGGUUCAAGUGACUCUCCUGCCUCAGCCUCCUGAGUAGCUGGGAUUACAGGCGCCCACCGCCGCACCUGGCUAAUUUUUUUUUGUAUUUUUAGUAGAGAUGGGGUUUUGCCAUGUUAUCCAGGCUGGUCUCGAACUCCUGACCUCAGGUGAUCCACCCGUCUCGGCCUCCCAAAGUGCUGGAAUUAUAGGUGUGAGCCACUGUGCCCAGCCCAAGACAUUCUUACAACCUGGCCGACUCUAGAUCCAGUCUUAUCUUCCCUUCACCCCCUCUUAACCGCAUCUUCCACUUUUGUAUCCAGGCAGCAUCUAACACAAUGCUUAGCAUGUCAUUUGCUUAAAACACCAAUGCUGUCCUCUGCCCCACACAAAGUCUCCACUGACCCCCUAGUUCCUCUACUGAGUAUUCCACAGGCUACAGGGGCCUCCUGAGACUGGGCCCUGAUCCCUUGCCUCAGGUGGGAGGCUGCUUGGGAGACUCUGUUUUUGUUGUUGUUGAGACGGAGGCUCGCUCUGUUGCCCAGGCUAGAGUGCAGUAGUGCGAUCUUGGCUCACUGCAAUCUCUGCCUCCUGGGUUGAAGCCAUUCUCCUGCCUCAGCCUCCCGAGUAGCUGGGAUUACAGGCAUGCGCCACCACGCCCAGCUAAUUUUUGUAUUUUUAGUAGAGACAGGGUUUUGCCAUGUUGGCCAGGCUGGUCUCAAACUCCUCAGCUCAGGUGAUCUGCCCACCUUGGCCUCCCGAAGUGCUGGGAUUACAGGCAUGAGCCAUCACCCUUGGCCUGAGACUCUGUUUUUUAAGAUGCAAGCACACACAACACCUUGCAAAUGAAAAGAAGCCAGCCUCAAAAGAAUAUGCACAAUAGGAUUCCAUUUACAUCUAGUUUGGGUGUUGUUUUUUUUUUUUUUUUUGGUGGUGGUGCCGGUGGGGGGUGGACAGGGUCUCACUCUGUCACCUAGGCUAAAGUGCAGUGGCGCUUUGCCUAUGUCAAGUUUUAAAGUGGGCAAAGGUUUUAAUCUGAGUUGUUAUAAGUCAGGAUGGGCCAGGUGCAGUGGCUUGCUCCUGUAAUCCCAGCACUUUAGGAGGCAGAGGUGGGUGGAUCGCUUGAGCCCAGGAGUUCAAGCCCUGCCUGGGCAACAUGGUGAAACCCCAUCUCUACACAAACUACAAAAAUAAGCUGGGUGUGGUGGGCGUGCUGUAGUCUCAGCUACUCAGGAGGCUGAGGCCGCAGUGAGCUGUGAUCACAGCACUGCACUCCAGCCUGGGUGACAGAGUGAGACUCUGUCUCAUUAAAAAAAAGAAGAGGAGUCAAGAUGGAGUUAUCCUUGGAGAUGGGGAGCACAGUGGGACUCCUUGGGGGCUGGGAACACUGCAGGUUGAUCUGGAAGCUGGUUACAUGGGUGUGUUAAAAUUCAUCAAGCUGUACUCUCAGGAUUUGUACACUUUUCUGUCUGUGUGCUGUACUUCCAGAAAAUAAAAAAUAGAAACUAAAAAAAAAUAAUAAACCAGGGAGGAAUCAGUUUUAAAACUGCAAUCACACUCUGGGCAGAUGACCUGAUAGCAGGAGUGUGGGGUUGCUCUGAGCCAAGUUGGGGGGUUGGGGGAGGGCAGUGUGCUGCUUCUAGAGACAGCAAGGAAGCAAAUUUUGUUAAUAAAAUCACGUGAAUAGAAGCAAACUUACUGCUCCACAGUUGGGGCGGGGGGAGGAGCGGGGUGAGAGUGAUGCGCCAGGCAGAUGUGCCGUAUUGGAGGCUUGGCAGCACUUCAUCAUGGCAGCCCUAGGCAUGGCCCAGGCUUCCAGAGUGAAAGCGUGGAGUUGGCAGCAUUAACGGGUUGCCUAGGCCCCCACCCUGUCUUCCUCACCUUCUCUGCAGGAACUUCCACUCCAGCCUAAAUUGGGUUUUCCGCUAUGCCCGGAGCAGACACAGCCUUUCCCCAUUGUGGCCCAUGCAUGUUCCCUGCAGGAAUGCCCCUUCUCUCUUCCUCCCCUUAAAACUGCUUCUUCUCCCUGGUCCCCACCAACCACCUGGUUAUACAUUCCAGAAACCUGAGAAUCACCCUUGACCUCUCCAAUCCCUUCACUCCCCAAACCGACCCUUCACCAAAUCCGUUUUCUUUUCUCUGCGCAGUUUUAGGAGUCCAUCCAUUUCCCCCACAUCCAGCGCCCUGCACUGCCUAGCACAGCUUCUCACCUACGCCAUGGCAAUGGCCUCCUCACUGGGCCCCCUCCUCUGGCUCCUACCCCUCUGCAGUCCAUGGCCCCCACAGCAGCCACCAGCCACAACCACACCCGCAAAUAACCACUGCUGCUGGGUGCCAGGUGCUGCUCCAGGCUCCCGACACACCCCAGGAAACAAAACAAAUACCUGUCCUCGGGGUACUUGUAUUCCAGAAGGAGAGAGAUGGGCGAUAAGCAAUAAAGGUAAGAGGUCACAAAAUUACCAUGGAUGGUGGACAGUGAUGUAUGCCAUGGAAAGAAAAGUGGGAGCAGGAAAGAAGCACCUGGAAGGCAGGGUGUGGGGAGAAGGAUUUGCAGGAUUAAGGUGCUCAGGGGAGGUCUCUUGGGAAAGUGAGAUGUGAGCAAAGACUCAACGGAGCCGGGGGAGCAAGCCAAGAUUUCUGAGGUGAGAGUUUUGCAGGCAGAGGCAAAGCCAGUGCAAAGGCCCUGUGGUAGGAGACUGCCUGCUGUGUUUAAGGAACAACCAGGAUUCUAGGGUGGCCAGAUUGCAAAAGAGGAAGAAUGAUCAGACAGGUAAAAGGGGGGCGGGGGUUGAUCCUGCAGCCAGAGCGAGGGUGCUCCAGUGGCUUUCACUAUUGAGAUAAAGAUGGAAGCCCUCAGCCACCCUACUGGGCCCUGCCCCUCAGACCUUGGCUCUGGGCUUCUGUUUCCAGCCCCUUCCCACAUCCAGCCGUUGCCACCGGGAGCUGGCUUAGAUUUGCGAUCCCUCCACCCGCUUCACUUAGUCAUUCACAACUCUGUUCAAACAGCACUUCCUCCAAGAUACCUUCCCCAAACAGUCAUCCAGACCAGUUUAGUGGCUCAGCCUCACCCUCUCAAACCACCCUGCCCUUCCUCUACGCCACAGGCCUCCCCAGUGCACAGCCAUCUAGCGUUAAGGCUAUAAUUACUUCAUUUGGUUCAUUGCAAAUUUGGCAGUUGUUUACUCUGUGCCAAGCACUGUCCUGGGUGCCAGGGCACCGUGGAGAACAGGACUGACAAGGUCCUUAUCCUAUGGGAGAUGGACCAUAAACAGAGCAAAUAAGGUAACUUUAGAUGAUGACAUGUGCCACACAGAAGAUGAAACAGAGCAGUGUGGCUGAGAGUAGUGGGAGGGAAGGCAGUGUUAGCCAGGAUGGCUUGGGAGGCCUCUUUGAAAAAUUGAGCUGAGAAGGAACCAGCUGCAUGAGUAUGGGGGAAAGAGAGUUUCAGGUAGCCGAGCAACAAGUGCACAGGCCCUGAAGGAGGACCAACCUUGGACCACCUGAGGAAGAGAAGGACAGCCCACAUGGCUGGAGCAGAAUGGGCUCUCUCUCUCCAGCUGGAAACGGUGCUGCACACGAUUCCAGAUCCUCUCUGGUCUCUUUGUCAUCGCAUCCAUCCCUUGGGCUUGCUGACCGUUGAAGCUCAUGGCAUUCAUUGAAUGAAGGUGUAGCCAUCUCAUUUCUGCCCAAACUUCGAUCCUGCUUUCUCCAUGAACUCUUCCCAGCCACUUCCAGCCCUCCAAGAACAGUCUCUCCUCUAUACAAAAACCUCAGAGCCCUCACUUGAGAUCUGGGGCUGGUCUACUUGGGGCCGGACACCCCUGGAAAUGCUGUGAAAAUGGUGGCCCUCGUGCACAUGUCCACUUUGCCAGGGGUACAUGCAUCAGAGUCCCAGAGGGCCUCAGACACCCAAAAUGUUGACGAAACAGGACUCCCAAACCCCUCACUCUGCAGAUGAGGAAACUGAGGGCUAGAGGGUAGAAUGUGUACCCUGGGCCUACCUGACUUUCUGUCAGGCUGCCAGCUGCCAGGCCACAAGAACUACCCCAUCUGGCUGUGGGAAGCCAGCCUGGGGUCCCUUGUUGGCACUUGGUGUCUCGGAGACUGUUCCCUUCUGCAUGGUUGUCCUUGUUUUGAUCUGUUAACGCACAGUAAGUACCCCAUGGUAGGUCAAUGUCUUCCCUUCUCAGAUUAUUCCUUGAGGGCACGAUCAGGUGGUUGGUUUUCUUUAAUGUUAUUUUACUCCUUACUUUGUGUCUGCACAAUUCCUGCUGAGGGACUCCACAAGUACUGGCUGCCCAGUCGGCUCCUUCUUCCCAUGCCCCAAGGACCAUGGAAGCCGCCACUCGGGGCGUUAACUGGCUUGUGGUCAGGCCUGUGACUGGAUAUUCUUAGCAGCCUUCGGUCACCCAUCCCGAAAAUUUAAACUCCCCGGUCACUGGGGCUUAGAUCUCUCCCCGCCAAGGGAGAGAUGUUUUCUAUAAUAUUUUCAGGCAGUCAGCUCAGUACAGAGCCGAGUGUGCUUUUGCCAUCAAAGGCUUAAGCUUUGGGGGCAAGGCCGAGCAUCACACUGUCGCUACCCACCACUGCCCCGGGCCUGCCUGACGAGCGGGACUGUUUGGAACUGCUUAGCAUGAUGGAAGCUUUUGGCCACAUCAGAGCCGUUAUCACAUCUGACCUCGUUCCUGGGCCCUGGGGCAGCUCGGAGGCCUGGGAGUCUCGGGCACUUACUGGCCUUCCUGUAGAGAUGUCCACUGUGGGUCAAAUGGCAACUUAAAAACAGGCAUGGGGAUUAGAGAUCUCCAUUUGGGCCAUUUCCUUAACCUGCUAGGUGAAUUCCCCUUCUAAAUGCAACUGUUUCUCUCACUUUCAAGGAGAUACCAUAUUCGGCUUGCCAUCAAGCUCUGUGUGCAGUGGCAGGGAGUGAGAACAAGGAUUGAGAAGGGGUCUUAGGGACCCUCCAACAGAGCAAUAUGGAGGGGAGGGUGGUGUAUAGUCAGUAGGGGUACAGCAGUCACUUAAGCACACUUUUUUUUUUUGAGACAGUUUCACUCUUGUCACCCAGACUGGAGUGCAAUGGUGCGGCCUCGGCUCACUGCAACCUCCGCCUCCCGGGUUCAAGCGAUUCUCCUGCCUCAGCCUCCCGAGUAGCUGGGAUUACAGGCAUGCAUCACCAUGCCCGGCUAAGUUUUUUGUAUUUUUAGUAGAGACGGGGUUUCACCAUAUUGUCCAGGCUGAUAUGGAACUCCUGACCUUGUGAUCCGCCCGCCUCGGCCUCCCAAAGUGCUGGGAUUACAGGUGUGAGCCACCGCGCCCGGCCUUCUUUUUUUCUUCCACACUUUCUGAUUUCUCUUGGGGUGGCUACAUCUGCAGCUGUGUUUUUCCUCCAUUUAUCUGGCUCUGGAAGUGCAAGAGCACAGACUGGGAGGAGACGUGGGCUAGGGGAAGAGAAGGUUUCCUGGUUGUGUGUGUGUGUGUGUGUGUGUGUGCACGCGCGCACGCAUAAGAGGGUUCAGAGGAAGCAGAAAUGUUUCCUCUCUCCCAGCACUACCAUUCCACCAAUCCAUAGCAAGCAAAACUCAGGCUGAAUGUUCAAACCCCAUGCUUUUAAGGAUGCCACAUGGUGAGAAAGGGCCACCAUGUAAUGAAUCCUGGGAAAAGGCCAGGGCCCUUGGGAGCGGGAGAAUGAGCACCAGAGAAGCUGAUAGGAGAAACCUUCAGAAUCCCCACUGGCCUCUUUGCAACUUUGGGAAUUGAGAGAACUCAGGGGAAUAUGGUGAACUACGGACUUAAGCGGACCAUAAAGAUUUUGAACUAUUGGUCAGGCAGGGUGGCUCAUGCCUAUAAUCCCAGUGCUUUGGGAGGCUGAAGCAGGAGGAUCGCUUGAGGUCAAGAGUUCACAACCAGCCUGGGAAACAUAGCAAGACCCCAUCUCUAUAUACAUUUUUUUUUUUCUUUGAGACAGCAUCUCACUCUGUCACCCAGGCUGGAGUGCAGUGGCACGAUCUUGGCUCACUACAACCUUCACCUCCUGGGCUCAAGCAAUCCUCCCGCCUCAGCCUCCCAAGUAGCUGAGACUACAGGCAUGCAUCACCAUGCCUGGCUAAUUUUCUUAUUUUUUGUAGAGACGGGAUUUUGUCAUGUUGUCUGAAACUCCUGGGCUCGAGUGAUCCGCCCACAUCGGCUUCCCAAAGUGCUGGGAUUACACACGUGAGCCACGGCACCUAGCCCUUACAAUUUUUUAAAAAGGUUUUAAAAUCAAUUCUAUUCCACAAACACUUCUUUUUGAGAGGGGGGUCUCACUCUGUCACCCAGGCUGGAAUUCAGUGGCGAGAUCAUGGCCCACUGCAGACUUGACCUCCCGGGCUCAACCAAUCCUCCCACCUCAGUCUCCCGAGUCGCUGGGACUACAGGCACACACCACCACCACCUGGCUAAUUUUUUGGUAUUUUUUGUAUUUUCUCAAAUUCCUGGGUUCAAGUGAUCCACCUGCUUCAGCCUCCCAAAGUGCUAGGAUUACAGGGCCACUGUGACUGGCCCACAAACCCUUCUGAAACACCCCUUACAUAUAUGUACAGAGCUAUGAAAAUAAGUAAGACAUACCCUUAAGGGAGGCCGCCCUGGGAAAGACAUUCUAGGCAUCUUGUGGGGAGUGUUGGGUCAGACAGAGGAUGGAGGGGUGUGUGUGGCGUCGGGGGGGCGGGUUGGGGAGGAGGGCAUAAAAGCACACGUGGCCAGCCUGCUUUGUCCUGUUCUGGAAGGCCAUCCAGUCUGCUCAAGGGCAGCUGAACAAGUGGGAAGAGAGGUGGCAAAGGCAGAUGAGGUGGUCCCUGCAGCCUGCUAUGUGCCAGGAAGUGAUGCAUUGGGGCAGCAGCUCCAGCAGCUGCCUGGAGAAGGUGGUUGAUUAUGGGAGAAAUUGACUGUGGAGUCUCACUCUGUCACCCAGGCUGGAGUGCAGUGGCGAGAUCUCAGCUCAAGUCAACCUUUGUCUCCUGGAUUCAAGUGAUUCUCCCGCCUCAGCCUCCCUAGUAGCUGGGACUACAGGUGCACACCACCACGCCUGGCUAAUUUUUGUAUUUUUACUAGAGACGGGGUUUCACCAUGUUGGCCAGGCUGGUCUUGAACUCUUGACCUCAAGUGAUCCAUCUGCCUCGACCUCCCAAAGUGCUGUGAUUACAGGCAUGAGCCACCACAUCUGGACCUCUUCAGUCUCUUCUAAUCACUACAUUUUUCCUCCCUCACGCCCAACCAAGUGAGUGAGCCACCAUGGAAAUGUAUCAUCCAGCAUCCCAGCUUCAACUCCUCCACCUGAAGCCCCAAACAUUGUGAGCAGAGACAAUCCAUCCCUGCUGUACUUUAUCUGAAUUCCUGACCCACAGAAAUCAAGAGAUAGAAUACAUUGUUAUUGUUGGUUUAUGCCACUACAUUUUUGGGCAACUUGUUAUGCAGCAUUAGAUAACUAAUAUGGGGGUGGGUGAGUUCCCUCAGAGCUGUCACAGCUGAGUGUGUUCACAGAAGUUAAUGGCAAGCCUAGAGGGCACAUGUCUCACAGCCUCCAGGCAGACAGAAGAAGUCACUAAAGAAUCAUCUGGGAGUCGGCCAGGCGCGGUGGCUCACGCCUGUAAUCCCAGCACUUUGGGAGGCCGAGGCGGGCGGAUCACGAGGUCGAGAGAUUGAGACCAUCCUGGCCAACAUGGUGAAACCCCGUCUCUACUAAAAAAAAAAAUACAAAAAUUAGCUGGGCGUGGUGGUGCGUGCCUGUAGUCCCAGCUACUCGGGAGGCUGAGGCAGGAGAAUCGCUUGAACCUGGGAGGCGGAGGUUGCAGUGAGCCAAGAUCGUGCCACUGCACUCCAGCCUGGCGACAGAGCGAGACUCCGUCUCAAAAAAAAAAAAAAAAAAGAAUCAUCUGGGGCUGGGUGGUGGCUCACACCUGUAAUCCCAGCAGUUUGGGAGGCCAAGGUGGGCGGAUCACCUGAGGUCGGGAGAUCGAGACCAGCCUGGCUAACAGAGUGAAACCCCACUUCUACUAAAAAUACAAAAAAUUAGCUGGGUAUGGUGGUGCAUGCCUGUAAUCCCAGCUACUUGGGUGCCUAAGGCAGGAGAAUCGUUUGAACCUGGGAGGCAGAGGUUGCAGUGAGCCGAGAUCGUGCCAUUGCACUCCAGCUCGGGCAACAAGGCAAAAUUCCGUCAAAAAAAAAAAAAAAGAAAAGAAAAGAAAAAAAACCACGAAAACAACAACAAAAAAGAAUCAUCUGGCUGGGCACAGUGGCUCGCACUUUGGGAGGCCAAGGUGGGCAGAUGGCUUGAGCCCAAGAGUUUGAGACCAGCCUGGUCAACAUGGCGAAACCCUGUCUCUACUGAAAAUACAAAAAUUAGCCGGGUAUGGUGGCGUGCGCCUGUGGUCCCAGCUACCCAGGAGGCUGAGAUGGGAGGAUUGCUUGAGCCUGAGAGGUGGAGGUUGCAGCGAGCUGAGAUGGCACCACUGCACUCCAGCCUGUCUCAAAGAAAAAGAAAAAAAAAAAAAAGAGGAGGUUAGGACACACACACACACACACAUUGGGAAGAACAUGUGAAGACACAACAAAGAAGGUGGCCAUCUUCAAGCCAAGGAGAGAGAUCUCAGAAGGAACCAACCCUGCUGACAACUUGUUCUUGGACUUGCAGCCUCCAGAACAGUAAGACAAUAUAUUUCAGUUGUUUGAGUCACCCAGUGUAUGUUACUUUGUUAUGGCAGCCCCAGCAGACUAAUCUAGGGUGGAAUCUCCAUCUCUUCCUCGAGGAUCUGAGUUGGCAUCAUGACUUGCUCUGACCAAUAGAAUGCACCAGAAGUGACACUGUGUGACUUCUGAGGAGAAGCCUUAAGAGACUUUGUAGCUUCCUGCUUCACCCUCUCAGGCAGUUCUGAGGCUGCCACGUAAGGAAGCCAGUCUCACAUACUUGAGGAUGUGAGGC
rnacentral:lncRNA from 1 species